rnacentral:lncRNA from 1 species
UUGGUAGUACAUUUCCCAAGCAGAUAUCGGUGUCUGAUCCCUCAAUAUAGAGUCAGCCCAUUAAGCAGAAAGUGUUUAUCUUUCCUUCCGCAUUCCCAACUGAGUUAUAUCCUCGUGGACGACGGUUGUUUUUGCCUCCUCCUGACACAUAUAUUGGGAUGAGUUUCCUUGUUGAGUUAUAUCCUCACUAGGACGAGUCUUGAUUCAGUUUGCCUUUUUUAGUUUGAUCCU